UACGUAGGGGGCAAGCGUUGUCCGGAUUUAUUGGGCGUAAAGAGCGUGUAGGCGGCCUUACAGGUCAGCUGUGAAAACUCGAGGCUCAACCUCGAGACGUCGGUUGAAACCGUAUGGCUAGAGUCCGGAAGAGGAGAGUGGAAUUCCCGGUGUAGCGGUGAAAUGCGCGGAUAUCGGGAAGAACACCCGUGGCGAAGGCGGCUCUCUGGGACGGUACUGACGCUGAGACGCGAAAGCGUGGGGAGCGAACAGG
rnacentral:rRNA from 1 species